UGUGACGUCACGCGAGAGCAUUGGUGCGUUAGGCGAGUCGGGGACGUGUGCUGCGCGGGGGCUCCUCGCCGGUUUUGAGGAGCUUUGUUUUAAUCUGUUCUUGCAGCGUUUACGCCUCAGAAGCGGCCUGGGUGGGUGACCCUGUGACCGUCGGCAGCCUCCAUGCUGCAUGUUCCAGUCAGAAACACUGCCCGCUGUCCCUGGUGCCCGGCAGCUCCCCCGGCCGCUGUGCGUUCAGCGCUGCCGCGCUCCGCUUCUCCUCGGAUAACGCUGAGGGGCCCCGGGGUAACGCCAGCCGCGAGCCGUGCUGCCCGCUCCACACAAACAGCGCCCUGUGGCGGAUGGUCUCUGCUCGUAGCGCAAAAAUAUUCUGGCUUAAAGUAACCUGGAGUUUAUUAAUCAGCAAUCUCAGGAUGUGUUCUGCUUGUUCUGUACAGAAGGGUAGCGCCAGUUUUGAGAGCAGCACCGCUGAGAAGCAGAGGCGGGAGCUGCGCGCUGAGCUGCAGGAGCGUGUGAGAGCUGAGCGGCAUGGUGCAGCAGCGCCGGUUACUGGGGCGGGCCAGUAACAACCGGCCAAAAAUCCUGGCCUUAGCGGAGCGGUGCAACUUAUUAAACAAUCUGCAUGAUACAGCAGCGUGACUUGGAGGUUCUUUGUGUCAGUUUGGAGAGCUCUCAGGAAUUAAGGCAAAAGCAUCAAAAGGAGGCACGAGAGAGGAGUGUGGGUAUGGCAUUCCCUGACAGUAACAGCAAGACAGACUCAGUUAGGACUGAAGGUGCCCACAGGAUAUGCACGGAGCGUGGAACUGCACAGGUUCCAAAAAGCAGGGUAAGAAUCACCUCUGUGAUGUGUGAAGUAGAUAAUAGACUGCGACUGGAUGCAUCGGACUUGGAGAAAACUACCUCAGCUCACUUACAUCGGUGUCAAAAAGAUGUGGAAGGUUUGGCUGUCUGUGUGGAAGAAGAGGAAAAGCAGGAUGUUGCAUCAAGUUCUGAUGAGCUAGACAGCAAACUAUUUAAUGAGGCAAACAACGCGAGGCUGUUGAGAAACAGGGAAAUAUCUGUGAACAAAGAGGAAAGCAGAGACCAGCAAACUUUUGAGUCAUCUUCACCUGAACAUUGGCUUAACAUCAAUUAUAGGGCAGAUUUGCGAAAUACCUUGAUCCAGAACACCAUCACAUCUGACAAGACUGGUAAUGAAAAUAAAGCCUGGGAAGAGGGGACUGGAAUUCUGUUUAGCCAAAAAGACAAAGAGACUCCUAUUGCAACUCACAAAUCUGAAUGUAAUGCCUUUAGUAAUAACUUGGUCGUAAAUGAAGAUGCAUGGUGGAAGCCAAUAUCAGAUCAAGAGUGGCUGGAGAUUUUCAAACCCCGAAGAGGAAAUGGAAGUAAAUGGCAGAGAAAAGAGUGCAACUCUUUCAAGACUUCAGAGGAGAUGGAGAGUGCUAGUUCUAAAAGUGUAGAAAAUGUGAAUCUGAAUUCUUUUCGCUUGGAUUCUCCCUGCUGUUUGACUUCCACCCAGAAAGGAGACAGGCCUCAAAAAUGUGGGAAGUUCUGUGAUGCAGACUCUGCUCUGGAUAUUGGUAACCUUGCAGUGACUGAGCCAAGGAAUAGAUGCUGCAAUCCUACCAUCACCAAAGAUGCCAGUUCCCCCAUCAGUAUUGGCUGAAUCUCAACAGAUGGUUGCUGGCCUGGAGCCUUGCGAUCUCCUCCACACAAGCUCUCACUGCAGUCCAAACAACAGCAGCAUUAACAACGGCAUUUACUGCUCAUCUACAGCUGAAUUUAGACAACCGAGCUUGCAGAAACCCCUCACAGGAUGCAGUUAUCUGCUUCAGAAGAAGAUGCUUAAGCUCCCAUUCUUUUCUCUGUGAUGCUUUGUCUUUAACUUUCUGGAGGGGAUGAAGAAUUUUCCAUUGUAGAAUUAGUUUUGAGCGCUGAAGAUCGUCAGCCCAUCAGCUGCAAUGGAAACUUACCUGAUUUCUUCCAGGAUGUUUCAAAGACUCACAAGCAGUAAAAGAUGCCACUCUGCUGCAAUACAUUUCAACUUGAAAUAAAACAGAGUUUUGUUUAUCGUGGCAUAAUUCUAUUUUUAUAGCUGAGAGGUCAGGUUAAACACUAGCUUGUUUUUUAAGACUCCUAAAUGUGUAAUUGUUACAACAGAGGAUCUGUUUUCUUUUACCUUUUUUUUAUGGCAGCACAUAAAUAUUUUUAGAGUAUGACACAGCCAAGCAUUCAUUUUUUGUUAGGUUAUUGUUUCUGUUCUGGACUUCUUGCCACAGAGAAAUGAAUAACAUUUAUAGGAAGUUCCCAAUUAGCGCUGUAACCAGGAAAUGCCUCCCACCAUUGGUGGAAGUGGAUAGCUGUCACCCCGCGGUGGGCAGAGCAGCUCUUCCCCAGUCAGCAGCUAUCGAUUGUAACAGAAGCUUACAGCGAGAUCAGGUGUUUGCAUGGGCUGUUUGAGCCCUGUCUGGCAGCAGCCAAGCACACCGUGAGCAGCUUUGGAGCAUUUCAACCCUUUUUAUCUUUGACCGUGGGGCGAGACGUGUUCCAUGUUCAGUUUGAACUCUCUUGAACCAAAAGGUCAAAUGAGCAAACAGAAGAGAUGCUUUUGCUGCACCUUUCUUGCACGUUUCACACGCCGUCCAGCACACUCAGUUGUUGAUGGAUGGCAUUUCUCUUGGCCGUUCCCCCAGAGCCGUGAGCUCAGGGUGCGCUCUGCAUGGCCAUCCCUGCCACAGGGCCCCUCUGUGCCGGUGUUUCUGCUGGGGGUGCAGCUGAGCACUCAUCCUAUCUGCUGCCCUGAAUUAAUUGCAGUGAAAUACAACGCUUGCACCAGGGUUUCUCCUCGUUAACUGUUUCACACAAUUUUCCGCUUCCUCUUUAAUUACCUAAUUGCCAGCCUGCUUUCCAUCCUCUGCGACUGGCCUCAAAAUGAGCGGAGCCAUUUAGAUCACGGCCGCCGUCUGCCUCUGAGCAUCGCGCUCAGGGGGAAUCUCUGCUUCUCUGUUCCUUUUUCAGGACACAAAGGCAAUUUCCCGCAGUGACACACACUGAUAACCCGCAGAGAACAUUUCCAGGCUCCGUCCCCCAACGUGUAAUGCCGUGGGGAUGGCAGGAGUCCCCCAGGAGCAGUCCUUAACAGUGGCACGGUGCUUGCCUGCAGCCAUCCCAUUGCCACCACCAAGUUAAACCGGGAUGGCAGAGCCCGGAGACAUUCACGUGGGCCGUGCUUUCUGCUUCCAGGUGUUCAGGGGCACCCCUGCCCCCUUGUGAAUUCCCAGUGGCGUCUGGGUGCGGGUGGAAGCAGUGAGCUCAGGUGCUGCCCUGGGUGGUUCUUGCUGCGUUCUGGGGUCGAGUUUGUGCCCGCAGGAAGCAGAGCCCUCCCCCUGGCUCUGCUCAGAGCUGCUUUUGGCACAUGGGGGGCUCUGACAUGGGAGCGUCGGGUUAAUUUACUCUGUCAUUAAGUGACUUACAACCCACGUGUGCACAGCGGAGCGCGUGGGGAAACUCCAGCUGCGUUGAGUUCGGCCGUGUACCCACGGAGUCGGAUUUCUGGAAGCAUUACAAACCCUCCAGGGAAUCGCUUUGCUAUUGUGCCCUCGUCUUGAGCUAUUCUUGAAGAAAACAAAGCUGCCGUUCAGCUCACCGCGCGGGUGGGCGUGCUGCCGCGUGGCUGCGCCGAGCGAAGG